UACGUAGGUGGCAAGCGUUAUCCGGAUUUAUUGGGCGUAAAGGGAACGCAGGCGGUCUUUUAAGUCUGAUGUGAAAGCCUUCGGCUUAACCGGAGUAGUGCAUUGGAAACUGGGAGACUUGAGUGCAGAAGAGGAGAGUAGAACUCCAUGUGUAGCGGUGAAAUGCGUAGAUAUAUGGAAGAACACUAGUGGCGAAAGCGGCUCUCUGGUCUGUAACUGACGCUGAGGUUCGAAAGCGUGGGUAGCAAACAGG
rnacentral:rRNA from 1 species